rnacentral:lncRNA from 10 species
GGUUGCUCCUUGUCAGUUCAACUCAUCCAUUCCCCUGGAGUCACUGGGGGUCAGGAACAAGUCCUGCUGUGUGGUAGCCCCAUGCAGUGUUCCCAGCUUCCUCAUGCUUCGGCCCAGCUUUCGUUCUUCCCUCCGUCCAUUCUCAGUGUCUUCCCUCUGAAGAUCUGUUAGUGCGCCAGGCUCUCGGUCCCUCAGUGGCAGCUGCUCCACCUGGCUGCGUCUAGUCAGCCAUUUUGCCCUCUGUUAUGAUACUGGGAAUUUAAAAAGCUCCCUUUAUAAUUCUAAUGUGCAGCCACAGCUGAGAACUGUUAACGUGGAUCAUCUAUAAAAACACCUAUUCAUAGAAAGAAUCUGCCAUUUGCAGAGCACUUACCACGUGUCAGGAGUUCUGCUGGGUAUUUUACUUAUCUCACCGAAUCCUCGUAAUAACCCUAUGACAUGGGUACUAUGGAGGCUGAGGUGCAGGGUGGUUAGUGACCUGCCCCCAGUCACGCCAGCAGUAAGAAGAAGAGCUGGGAUAUGAAACCAGCUGCCUGACUCCAACAGCUCUUUCUACUCCCUGGCACCGCCGUGUCUUCUGACACUGCAGAUCAGAGGCUGGGCUGCCUUACACUGGGUCCUAUGGAGGCUGGGCAGGCCCCUGGCCAGGAGGUCCUGGACAAGAGCUGGGCUCGGCUCCUGACUUUCCAGGGGCCCCACUGAAGGGCUGUGGGCUGUGGAGGCCCUUUCUCACCUGUCCCUCAGCUCAGAGCCUUCCCGACCCUUCUGUUCCCAUCUCUGCUCUUGCUUGAAGCUGCUGAGAAAGCACUGCUGGCCUCUCGGAGGGCUCUCCUCAUUCCAUGAAGAUGAGGAGCUGCUCCACUGCUCCAGGGAUGGCGCAGCUAGAGCUACUUGGAAAACCGAGGUGAACAUGUUCAGAGCAAAGACGGAUAUGGCCCCUCAUCCUGUGCUGAUGCUGACCUUGGAACACAGCUGCUAUCAAGGAAGACAAGGAGAGGUUCUAACAUGUAGACUAUGCUUUGAAACCUUAGCCUUUAUAAAACUAUGACAGUAAGAAAAAUCUGACAUGGUUGACUCCAUCUUGCUUCUAGCCUCACAGGUUGGCUGUCUUUACUCAUUCCUGGGUGUGGGCCAAGCUAACUUUGGGAGUAGUUUAUAGUUUAAAUAAUAGUCCUUCCCCAAAACUAAUCUGUUCUUGUAAAACUAAUGAAAGGCCAACAGGUUAGGAAAAUGAGAGGCACUUGGAUUCUAAAUAACUACCAGCCAUUAUUCCGGAGGUCAUAAGAUUUGCAACUUCCCAGUUACUCCUGCAGAUAACAUCACUAUUGUGGAACCCAAGAUUGGCCUUUUGAGAUGUCUUUUCAAGUUUUUAUGUUUCCAACAAUCGGGUGGCCCCACCCAGCAACCAGUCCUGUGGCCCCCAUCCAGGAAGUGAUUCAGCACAAGAGGACAGCUUCAAUUCCCUAUGAUUUUAUCUCCAACCUAACAAAUAAACAUGCCCCCUACCCUAGCCCCCUGCUCACCAAGCUAUCUUUGAAAAACCCCUAACCUCUGAGCCUUCAGGGAGAUUGAUUUCAG